rnacentral:rRNA from 1 species
UGAGGAAUAUUGGUCAAUGGGCGGGAGCCUGAACCAGCCAAGCCGCGUGAGGGAUGAAGGCCCUAUGGGUCGUAAACCUCAUUUCGUCAGGGUAACAAAAGGCGAAGUAUGUAUACUUGUCUGAGUGUACCUGAAGAAAAAGCAUCGGCUAACUCCGUGCCAGCAGCCGCGGUAAUACGGAGGAUGCGAGCGUUAUCCGGAUUUAUUGGGUUUAAAGGGUGCGUAGGCGGCGGUGCAAGUCAGCGGUAAAAGCCCGGGGCUCAACCCCGGCGAGCCGUUGAAACUGCAGUGCUAGAGAAGGCGAGAGGUACGCGGAAUGCGCAGUGUAGCGGUGAAAUGCUUAGAUAUUGCGCAGAACUCCGAUUGCGAAGGCAGCGUAUCUGGCGCCUGACUGACGCUGAGGCACGAAAGCGUGGGGAUCGAACAGGAUUAGAUACC